rnacentral:rRNA from 1 species
GAUGAACGCUGGCGGCGUGCCUAAUACAUGCAAGUCGAGCGAACAGACGAGGAGCUUGCUCCUUCGACGUUAGCGGCGGACGGGUGAGUAACACGUAGGUAACCUACCUAUAAGACUGGGAUAACUUCGGGAAACCGGAGCUAAUACCGGAUAAUAUUUCGAACCGCAUGGUUCGAUAGUGAAAGAUGGCUUUGCUAUCACUUAUAGAUGGACCUGCGCCGUAUUAGCUAGUUGGUAAGGUAACGGCUUACCAAGGCAACGAUACGUAGCCGACCUGAGAGGGUGAUCAGCCACACUGGAACUGAGACACGGUCCAGACUCCUACGGGAGGCAGCAGUAGGGAAUCUUCCGCAAAGGGCGAAAGCCUGACGGAGCAACGCCGCGUGAGUGAUGAAGGUCUUCGGAUCGUAAAACUCUGUUAUUAGGGAAGAACAAACGUGUAAGUAACUGUGCACGUCUUGACGGUACCUAAUCAGAAAGCCACGGCUAACUACGUG